CCCCUCUCAGGAUCGCACCUGGAGAGUUUCCAGUACCCUUUCAGUCUCAGCUAUGGGAGGGAGAGUCAAGCAGAGGCAUACCCAUUCCAUUCCUAGCUGGGCAGCGGCUAGUGAGUGGAAAGCAAUCUGCUACAAGA